AAGAAAAAGAAGAAGAAGAAGAGUAUUAACGCGCGAGAAUUGGAUCGAGAACACCUUUCGAGUUCCACGCAUGCCUGUUGCACCUGCGAAUCGCGUCGUCCGUCGUGCGAUCCUCGCUCGUGUCGCACACUCAUUACACGUCGAUGGUCGAUAUCGAUCGUUAGACGAGUAAGAGAGUAAAAAUUUAACGAAUCGAGAUCGAGGGGAUCGUGGUGGCAACGUUUUCUUUAAUCAUCCGUGACCCGAAAUCCAAGGUAUUUGAGAAGUAUCGUUGAAAUUCCACGGAUGGAAAGGAGCGGUCAAGCCACGGAUGGAAUCGGGCCGUGGAAAAUGGAAAACGGGCACAACAACUCGCGACCCAAAAAUACUUGAUAAAAAUCACCACGGUCGUUACGAAGAGCGCAGCUGCAAGCAUCACCAAAGAAAACACACGGAAAUAGAGCGGACACGAAGCUAGAGCGCGUACACUUUGAGCGCGCGCGAGUGAGCCGAGCCGCUUGUGUCACCGAUUGCGAGAUCGAGAAGGAGGAAGCGAGAGAUGGAGCGAAAUUUCCGAGAAAUUCGAGAAAUCCG